CUUGGCCGGGAGCAGCUGUCACUGCUCCAUCGAGCUGAUGAGUCUGUGACAUCGCUAAGGAACGAGCCCUAAAACUUUGGCUGCAGACAUUGAUCUCAGAGCACUGAUGUGACUAUCCACAAAAAGAGGAUUCUAAGAUACGCCUGAUGGGGAACUGGGGGCAGAAUAAGGAAGACAUCACUGCAGAUCAGUUUCUAACUUCUGCCUGCAAAUUCUACUGGCAAGAAAAAUCCCUUCCAUCAAACUAAAUAACAAGCUAAAGAAGCUGUAACAAGAUAUAUAUUAAACAAAUGCAACACUGUGAUUGGAACAGAGCUAAACAGUUUGCACAAAUAAAAAAUAAAUGGAAAUAAUAAAGCCCAAAAUAAAAUAAGAGAGAAAGAAGUGAUGACAUCUCAUGCCUGCAGGACUACAAAGCUGGAUAUAAUGCAGCUUCCUUUCCCAAACAGUGGAAGAAAUAACUCCGAAGAACUUAAGCAAACAAACUUAGAGUGUAUUCAACUAUUUUAGUUAAGCAAUGCUCUCUUUUUGGGUUUGUAAACAUUAGGAUCUGUCUCUCAUAAGCUAAUUUAGCUUCCACAAAGGUAUUUAAUUAUUUACUGCAAAUUACAGCUUUAAAUAGGCAUUUAAAGCAAAAAAGAAUCAUGUUUCAAGUUAAAGAACCUAAAAAAAAAAAAAGAUGGCUGUCAAGAACUCUUGUCUUUUAGACCAUGAACUUUGACACUGCCCUUUAGUCAUAAGCCUAAGAAUACAAAAUGUUAAAAAAAGAAGAACUAUGUGCUACAACUGCAUUUCCUGUAACAUAUGUUCAUGAUUGAGGUAUUUAACCAGCACAGGAUGUGCUCAGACAGAGCAGAAACUGUCCCUCUGCAGCAGCCAGCUGAGCUCCCAAAAUAAAGCGUCGAGGAGUUUGCCAACCACAAUACGAUGAAGGCUCUGCUUCCCACUCUAGCAGUGGGGUUUUAACAUGGUGAUGAGAUGAAUGAAUAUUUGCUUAAUAAUGCUGAUACAUCUUAUGGAAGAAAAUGAUAGGGAUAUUCCUUUAAAGGAUCCAGGUGAUGCAAGCCUGCAAACGGAUCAAUUUUCAGCAUGGCUUUCUGUUCCUAUUUGUUUGAAGAUGCGGGAAGCAUGAAGCACUGGUAGCAGAAAGGAGUAAAAAAGGACUAUGGAGGGAAGUGCUUGCAGUGAUGCUGAACCCUAGAUAAAACCGCAUGCGUGCUGGCUACUGAAAAAUAUUACUUCUUCUGAAGAAAACUUACAUAAACAGCCUGAAGCAAAGGGAGAAAAAUAAAGCUGUUAAGUCAGUAGAGAAACUUCAGCUCUGCCACAUUAAUGUCCUGCUGCCUCAUGUGUUCGGUGCUGGAGUGCAGCCAGCAAGGCAGAGGAAGGGAUGGCUCCCAAUUGUGGUGCCACAUCUGAAGCACUGCAUCCUGUUCUGGCCUCCCAGAACAAGAACAGACUUUUCAGCAAUCUGGAAUCCUUCCAGCAUGGGGCCACGAGGAUGGAUGAGGGGCUAGAGCCCAUGAAAUAAAAGGAGAGGCUGAGAAAGCUGGCCAAGUCAGCCUGGAAGAGAGCAAGAUGCGGAGGCAUCAGCUUGUGGCCUCCACUAACCUGAUGGGGGGCUGCAAAGGAGACACCCUUCGGAGGUACCCAGAGUGAAGUUGAGGGGAAAAGGACAUGUGUUCCUGCAAAGAGCAGCAUGAGAGGACAUGAGAAGUAAAAUGAGCAGCUAAGCACUGGGACACCCAGAAGAAAGAGGUGAAUAUCUACCAUCCUGGAAGUUAUUCAGAACUGAACUGGAGAAAGCCCUGAGCAAGCUGACCUAGCUGCAGGCAGCUUGGCUGUGAGCAGGGACCUGGGCUGGAGGGUUUUUGUGACCUCCACAAAAAUCAUCUGACCUGUCAUCCUGAAACCAGAGGCAAACAGGAGUCAUCCAUACCUGAUUUUUAGGCAGGGGUUGUUUUUACAUUGCAGAGCUGAAAAGUGAAACGAGCACUUGUAUGAAUACUGAAACCAGUAUUCAAAUAAAAUAUUUAAAUUUCAAUGACUUAGCAAAAGAUAUUGAUGCAUUGACUUUGAAAAUCUUUAUUUAGAAUAAUCCUAUUGAAAUAUAACAGGUUUUGAUGACUCACUAUCAAGAAGUAAUUCCCUGUAAAGGUUCAAACUGCAGGCAUUUGAUGCAAAAAUGACAUUAAGAAUAGCAAGAGGCACAUAUGCUAAUGAUGCUACUGAUAACAGCAAGGGAGUGUGAGUAUGCGUGGAAGAAGCAAGAGCAAAAUACAGAAAAUCUACAGCCUAUGCAAAAGGAUGGAGGAAAUCUUCAAACACAUUAAAAGGCUAUUGCAAAACAGAUGGAAAUAAUGUGUUUUCCAUGUCUGUGGUGCGUGAAAUGAGAAGGAACAGGUUUAAAUUGCAGCAAGGCAAAUUCAGAUUCAACACUGGGAAAUGUCUUUACAGCUUUUUUGGCAUGGCGCUGUAAUCUUAACCUUGUUUGCAACCUUUAAGAAAACGCGAGACAAAUAUCUGUCAGAAGUGAUCUAUCUCUACAUGUUCCUGCCUGGGAACAGGAAGAUGCACUACGUGAACUUUGAUACCCCUUCAAAUGUGAUGAUUUCAUACAGAAACUUCUAUAUAUCAAACAAAAGGGAAAAAAAAUGCAUCUGGGUCGAAAUUCAGGUCUAAAACACGAUCUGAACUGGAGUUA